UACGGAGGGUGCAAGCGUUAUCCGGAAUCAUUGGGUUUAAAGGGUCCGCAGGCGGUUUCAUAAGUCAGUGGUGAAAGCCUACAGCUCAACUGUAGAACUGCCAUUGAUACUGUGGAACUUGAAUUUGGUCGAAGUGGGCGGAAUGUGACAUGUAGCGGUGAAAUGCAUAGAUAUGUCACAGAACACCGAUAGCGAAGGCAGCUCACUAGGCCAGUAUUGACGCUCAUGGACGAAAGCGUGGGGAGCAAACAGG
rnacentral:rRNA from 1 species